rnacentral:rRNA from 1 species
GAUGAACGCUAGCUACAGGCUUAACACAUGCAAGUCGAGGGGCAUCAGGAAGAAAGCUUGCUUUCUUUGCUGGCGACCGGCGCACGGGUGAGUAACACGUAUCCAACCUGCCCUUUACUCGGGGAUAGCCUUUCGAAAGAAAGAUUAAUACCCGAUGGCAUAAUGAUUCCGCAUGGUUUCAUUAUUAAAGGAUUCCGGUAAAGGAUGGGGAUGCGUUCCAUUAGGUUGUUGGUGAGGUAACGGCUCACCAAGCCUUCGAUGGAUAGGGGUUCUGAGAGGAAGGUCCCCCACAUUGGAACUGAGACACGGUCCAAACUCCUACGGGAGGCAGCAGUGAGGAAUAUUGGUCAAUGGGCGCUAGCCUGAACCAGCCAAGUAGCGUGAAGGAUGAAGGCUCUAUGGGUCGUAAACUUCUUUUAUAUAAGAAUAAAGUGCAGUAUGUAUACUGUUUUGUAUGUAUUAUAUGAAUAAGGAUCGGCUAACUCCGUGCCAGCAGCCGCGGUAAUACGGAGGAUCCGAGCGUUAUCCGGAUUUAUUGGGUUUAAAGGGAGCGUAGGUGGACUGGUAAGUCAGUUGUGAAAGUUUGCGGCUCAACCGUAAAAUUGCAGUUGAUACUGUCAGUCUUGAGUACAGUAGAGGUGGGCGGAAUUCGUGGUGUAGCGGUGAAAUGCUUAGAUAUCACGAAGAACUCCGAUUGCGAAGGCAGCCUGCUAAGCUGCAACUGACAUUGAGGCUCGAAAGUGUGGGUAGCAAACAGG